UGGGGGAUAUUGCACAAUGGGCGAAAGCCUGAUGCAGCGACGCCGCGUGGGGGAUGAAGGCUUUCGGGUUGUAAACCUCUUUCGCUAUCGAACAAGGCCCGCUUAGGGUGGGUUGAGGGUAGGUGGAGAAGAAGCGCCGGCUAACUGCGUGCCAGCAGCCGCGGUAAUACGUAGGGCGCGAGCGUUGUCCGGAAUUAUUGGGCGUAAAGGGCUUGUAGGCGGCUUGUUGCGCCUGCUGUGAAAACGCGGGGCUUAACUUCGCGCGUGCAGUGGGUACGGGCAGGCUUGAGUGUGGUAGGGGUGACUGGAAUUCCAGGUGUAGCGGUGGAAUGCGCAGAUAUCUGGAGGAACACCGAUGGCGAAGGCAGGUCACUGGGCCAUUACUGACGCUGAGGAGCGAAAGCAUGGGUAGCGAACAGG
rnacentral:rRNA from 1 species